UAAGGAAUAUUGGGCAAUGGACGCAAGUCUGACCCAGCCAUGCCGCGUGCAGGAUGACGGCCCUAUGGGUUGUAAACUGCUUUUGUACGGGAAGAACCCCUCCGAUUCUUCGGAGGCUGACGGUACUGUACGAAUAAGCAUCGGCUAACUCCGUGCCAGCAGCCGCGGUAAUACGGAGGAUGCAAGCGUUAUCCGGAUUUAUUGGGUUUAAAGGGUGCGCAGGCGGAAUGGUAAGUCAGUGGUGAAAUCUCCCGGCUCAACCGGG
rnacentral:rRNA from 1 species